rnacentral:lncRNA from 1 species
CACAAUUUUUAACAGUUCAAAUUACAACCCAAAAUAUUACAAAACCCAAAUAACCAGCUCAAAUCAGAAAUCCCAAAUACAAAUGGCCAAGUAUCUCUCAAGCCCAAAUCAACUAAACCCCAAUGGCCCGAUACCCAAAAAUAAAAUAAACCUAGCCCAACAAAUACAAGGCCCGAUAGGCCCAAAUAGUUAACACUCUCAGGAACCCUAGGGUUCCCUCACGCCGGUUCAGCAACCUCCAGUGCCACCACCGCUUGCGCCUCCACUUCGACAUGCUCGUACAGCUUCCGUACUUCAAUACCUGCAGACAAAACAAAUGCCACAACAGCAAAUAGAAACAAAAACAAAACGAAUUGUAAAAAGAUUAUUCGGCUAUAAAAGCCCCACAAAACACAAAUGUAUUUUUUACGCACACAAUAGCAAUCAAAAAUCCAAUUUUAAAGUUGAAAAAGGUGUUUCCUUUUUUCUUUUUGAUUCCUUUAUUUUCUUUUUUACUUCGUUUUCUGCUUUAUUUUCAUUUAAAAAAGAAUAAUAAACAAAAAAAUAUAUAAAAAGAGAGGUCGAAACUACCUGGCCAUUCGUGUUGCGUCGCCGUUGGUGGAAGAGGUUUGUCGUUUCCGAUGAAAAACGACCUCUUAGGGGUUCGGGGAUUCAAAAGGCAAAAGAAAAAGGAUUUUUUUUAUUUUUCCGGCCAUCGUGGAUGGCGGCGCCGUCGCCGGUGACUGGUGGCCGCCACGGUGACCACUUGCCAGAACCCUAGGCUGUAGGGGUGUGCAUUAGUCGGUUAAAACCGAAUUUUUUCGGUUAACCGACCGAGUUCGGUUAAUCGGUCGGUUAACCGAAAAAAUUCGGUCGGGGGUCGGUUAAGGUUUUUUUGUUUGUUCGGUUAACGGUUAAAUCGGUUCGACACGGGUCGGUUAACCGAAAAAAUUCGGGUAAACCGAAUUUACACCCUAGGCCUACUCCCUCCCAAUUUAAAACCCAGCCCAAUUUAAAUCCAGCCCAAUUUUCUCUUAGGCUUACCAAAUAGGUCCAUUACCGUUUGGUCCAUUUCUCAUCUCAACAGGCAGCAGCAAACAACACCCCUCUUCUCCCUAAUUUCACAAUUUUCAUUUUUCACUUUCACUUUCAGUCACUCUCACUCUCACGACUCACACACACAAUCCGUCAGUCCCAACACCCGUAGGCCAUAGCCGGUAGCCUUGAAUCUCAGCCUCAGUCUUAACACCCAACACCCGACAUUCUCAAGCCCAGUCAACACUCGAUAGAAGAAUCGGGAGUCGCCAGAGUCACUGAGUACCAGGUUUGCUUUCUUCUAACUUCAUCUUAACCAAUGAUAUCCAUGAUUGCUGUCUUCUUUUGUACAUAUGAACACUUAAGGUAUAUAUAUUAUGUAAUUAAUCAUUUACAAGCAACUAUGUAAAAAAAAAACCCUAAACAGUAAAAAUGGUAAACAUACAUGAAAAAUUUUAAACAUCCAGUGCACAAAUCAUCUUGUAAAUACAAGUAUACAACGAAAAAUUUAGAAACCUUACCUAAAAUUUGUCUUUCUCCAUUUUGUCUCCCUGCGCUUUUGAAAUAACCAAAUGUUGGUUGCUUUCCAUUAAACCUCCAGGCUCCACGAAUUGAAUAAAUAAAUUUUCAGUUUAUCUUUUUUGUCUCUUUGUGGGUAUAUCUUUUUUUGGUUUUAAAUUUUUCGGUGAAUUGAAUUAAAUUCCUUCAGCAUUUUUUUUUCUAACCCAAUAAAUAUAGUUAAUUGUUUUAAUUACUUAGCUUAGAAAGCCCUUCCUUUUUAAGGACAUUGAGAAAGCCACUAAAUAUAAUUUUCUGUGAUCAUUAAUGAGUUAAUUUUUUUUAAUAGUCAUGAUCCUAAAAUAAAUAAAUAUUAAAAUUUAAAUUAUUGAAUAUAUUGUAAUUAAUGUAUAUUAUAAUUAAUGUAAGAAAAAAAAUGAUCAGUUGGCUGUAAUUAAUGUAAGAAUCGAUUUCAUUUUUUAAUUAAUUUGCAACUUAUUUCAUUUUCAACAUAAUUUUACAACAGAAUCGAUUUGACCAGGUAACUUUUGUUGAAAAUUGAGACAUUCUACUUCACUCUUUCUAAAAAUUCAACUAUACAAUAAUUAAUGUACUAGCACGAUACUAGGACAACAAGUCUGAAACGAUUUUAAGAAAACUAACUUAGCAGUACAAUAAUUAAUGUACAGCAUGAUACUAAUACAGCAAUUCUGAAGUGACAGACCACAACAUACUGAUUACAUUAAUCUCAGAACAUUGCAAUGAAAAACAACAUGGAUCUUGGUUAAAUUGCAAUUUAUGUUCACUUAAUAAUUCCUUUUGCAGCUCUGCUGAACAAGUUGUAAACCUGCUUUGAUGAAAGACCAAUCUUUUCCAAGUCACUUAGCUGCAAAAAACAGACAGCUUACCUACCUUCACUCAUAAUUCAAAAAACUUGUUUAAAUUAGCAUAGAAAAGCUUUUCUUACCGAUUUUAAAGGGCUUGUUUCUCUAACUUGGUAGAUGCGAACAACAUAUAUCUAGAAACCAUAACAUAAAUUUAAUAAUUUUAGUGUUUUGAUAUCUUAACUAAACUUGUAUAUGUUUGAUACUUUAAUUAUUCAUCUAAACCUUAAUUUUGUAAUGGGUUAAACUAAACUUGUAUAUGAUGCUCUUGAUCUUGCAGAAUGUCAACCAAACCAACAUCUAUUGAGGGUAGUGUUACACCUCCUACUUCGAUAGAUUCUGAAAAUUCGGGAGUUGGAGCUUCAAUCCAAACAAAGGGGACUACUGGGAAAAGAAAAGCCCCUCCUCAAAGGUCAGAAGUUUGGUCUCACUUCACUAAGUUUAUUAAUAGUGAGGGUGCAAGUAAGGCUAAAUGUAAUUAUUGUGAAAAGGAAUUUUGUUGUGAUAUGAAAAAAAAUGGUACGGGGUCAUUGAAAUAUCAUAUUGGUUCAUGUAAGAAAAAUCCUAGUAAUGUUGUUGACACUAGUCAAGGACAACUAGUUUUACCUAGAAAGGGAGUUGAAGGGGGGAAGGGAAUAUUUCAACUUGGAGAUUUGAUCAAGAAGCAUGUAGGAAAGGAUUAGCACAAAUGAUUUUGAUUGAUGAAUUACCUUUCAAGUUUGUUGAAAGUGAAGGUUUUAAGAAAUUUAUGUUUGUGGCAUGUCCUAGGUUUCAUAUUCCUUCACGAACUACUAUGACUAGGGAUGUUUAUCAAUUGUAUCUAGAUGAAAGGGUCAAGAUAAAACAACUUCUGAGAAGUUCUUGUUCUAGAGUUUGCUUAACUACUGAUACAUGGACAUCUUUGCAAAGAGUUAAUUAUUUGUGUCUCACUGCUCACUUUAUUGAUAACGAUUGGAAAUUGAAUAAAAAGAUUUUAAACUUUUGUCCAAUUUCUAGUCAUAAGGGUGAGUCCAUUGGGAUGGUGAUUGAGAAAUGCUUGUUGAAUUGGGGGAUUGAUAAGUUGUUUACUGUUACUGUUGAUAAUGCAAGUUCAAAUGAUGUUGCUAUUGGUUAUUUGAGAAAGAAAUUUAACCCUCGAGGGGGUUUAGUUCAAAAUGGUAAAUAUCUUCAUAUGAGAUGCAUGGCACACAUUGUGAAUUUGAUUGUUGUUGAAGGCUUAAAGGAAAUGAAUAAAUCUGUUGAACGUGUUAGGGGGGCUGUUAGAUAUGUGAGACAAUCUCCAGCUAGAUUACAAAAGUUUAAGGAGUGUGUUGUGGUGGAAAAGAUAGAGUGCAAGAAGAUGUUGUGUCUUGAUGUUUGUACUAGGUGGAACUCGACCUACUUAAUGUUAGACACUGCUCAGAACUUUGAGAGAGCUUUUGAGAGAUUUGAGGAGCAAGAUACAAAUUUUAGGGCUGAACUUGAAAGGGGAGAGGGUUGGCCUAGUGUGGAUGAUUGGGAUAAUGUUAGAAACUUGAGGGAUUUCUUGGAACACUUUUAUGAAGUCACUUUGCGUAUAUCUGGCACUUCAUAUGUCACGUCCAAUAAUUUUUUUGAUGAGCUUUCCGAAAUUGAUAUUCUUUUACGUGAUGCUCAGUUAAAUAGUAAUAUUGAUUUCAAUGUUAUGGCCAUCAAGAUGAAAGAGAAGUAUGAUAAGUAUUGGGGUGAUAUUGAUAAGAUGAAUUUGCUUAUGUUUGUUGUUGUGUUUUAGAUCCUAGACAAAAACUAAAGUAUCUUGAAUUUGCACUUAGUGAAAUGUCUAGUUCUGAAAAAGCUUGUGAAAUGAUGCAAAAGUUGAAGGAAUCUUUGUAUGAAUUGUUUGAUGAGUAUAAGCCUCCACUCCAUAGUACUUGUAGCCAAUCGAGUGUGUCAACACAUGUUUCUAUUGGUGAACCAUAACAAAAAAUGAAAAGGCAAAUGCAAGCUUUGUAUAAAAAGCGUGAGUUGGAAAUUUGUGGUGAGGAUAAAACAUCUGAGUUGGAUAAGUAUCUAGCUGAGGCUAAUGAAGAAUUUGUUGAAGAUUUUGAUAUUUUAUUGUGGUGGAAAGUGAACAGCCCUAGAUUUCCCACUCUUUCAAAAAUUGCCAGAGAUGUGUUAGCUAUACCGGUUUCUACGGUUGCUUCAGAGUCUGCAUUUAGCAUCGGAGGACGUGUGCUUGAUCAAUAUAGGAGUUCUUUAACUCCUAAAAUUGUACAAGCUCUUGUGUGUACUCAAGAUUGGAUUCGAAGAUCAUCAUCACAAGAAGACAUAAAAAAGAUUGAAGAACAAAUCCAAGAGCUUGACAAGAUUGAAAAUGGUAUGUUUAUUGUUUUAUUUUAAUAAUUUCAAUUUUUUUACCAUAUCACUCUUACUUAUUUAAUUGAUUCAAUGUUUAGACAUUUCUUGGAAUGCAUUAGAGCUUCAUGAGCUUUCGUGAGUUGAAGGGUAUGCUUACUACUAUCUUAUUCUUGUUGAUUUAUAAUCUAUUCGUUUGUUUAUAUUAUUUGAGUUUUUUUUAAAUGCGUAUAUUUCUAUUAUAUGCUAAAUUUUUGCUCAUGGUUUUUUUUAGGUUUAAUGCAAAUGGAGAUAUUUUGGAGAGAUGAAAUGAAUAUAUUUUGGAAAGAUGAAAUGGAUAUAAAUGGAGAAUGUUAAAAACAUACAUUUCAAUUAUGUUUUAAUUCAAGACUUGUGUAAUAUUUUUAAUUAUGUAGUGAUUCAAAGACUUAUGUAAUAUUUUUAAUUAUGUAGUGAUUCAAAGAUUUAUGUAAUGUUUUUAAUUAUGUAGUGAUUUAAUUAAGGUAAUUUUCAGGUAAUUCGGGUAAUUUGGGUAAUUUUCGGGUAAUUCGAGUAAUUCGGGUAAGUCGGGUAAUUCGGGUAAGUCGGGUAAUUCGGGUAAUUCGGGUAAUUUUUAACCAAAAAUGAAUAACACAUAUUUUUCGGUUAAUUCGGUUAACCGACCUUAUUAACCGAAAAAAAUUUCGGUUCGGUUAAUUAUUUUUAAAAAAAUUCGAUUCGGUUAACGGUUAAAAAAUUUGAGAGGUCGGUUAAUUCGGUUGCAAGAAUUUCGAGUCGAUUAACCGGUCGGUUAACCGACUGAACACCCCUACUAGGCUGGCCAUGGAGGUCCUUAAAAGAAAAAUGAGAGGAUUUUUGUUUUU